GGGAAAAUUGGGGGAGGUUUUGGGGGAAUUGGGGGAGGUUGGGGGGGGAACUGGGGGGGUUCGGGGCUGCAGGGCGCCUCCCGCAGCCCCCGCCGCUUCCUUAGGGCUGUACCGGGAGUACCGGGGGCUGAAGCACCGCGGGGAGCUCGCCCCGUGCCCGCCGGCUGAGGGGAGCCCGGCCAUGGAGCAGGACUCCGGCUGCUGGGGCGCGCACCUCAACCGCCAGCCCAAGGCCCCCACGUCGAGCGCCACCAACCAGCCCGUGCCGGCGGCGUCGGCGCAGCACUUCGGGAGGAAGCUUAAAGCCAACCUGGGCGCCGCCAUAAAGGAGAGGCCGCCGGUGCCCAGGAGGACGCUG
rnacentral:lncRNA from 1 species